GAUGAACGCUGGCGGCGUGCCUAAUACAUGCAAGUCGAGCGAACGGACGAGAAGCUUGCCUCUCUGAUGUUAGCGGCGGACGGGGGAGUAACACGUGGAUAACCUACUUAUAAGACUGGGAAAACUGCGGGGAACCGGAGCUAAUACCGGCCAAUAUUUUGAACCGCAUGGUUCAAAAGUGAAAGACGGUCUUGCUGUCACUUAUAGAUGGAUCCGCGCUGCAUUAGCUAGUUGGAAAGGUAACGGCUUACCAAGGCAACGAUGCAUAGCCGACCUGAGAGGGUGAUCGGCCACACUGGAACUGAGACACGGGCCAGACUCCUACGGGAGGCAGCAGUAGGGAAUCUUCCGCGAUGGGCGAAAGCCUGACGGAGCAACGCCGCGUGGGUGAUGAAGGUUUUCCGAUCGUAAAACUCUGUUAUUGGGGAAGAACAUAUGUGUAAGUAACUGUGCACAUCUUGACGGUACCUAAUCAGAAAGCCACGGCUAACUACGUG
rnacentral:rRNA from 1 species